AGCCUGUGAUGCUAUACAAUAUUUGCUACUCUUGAUGGAGAUUCCUUCAUUUGAUGAUUCUUAACCACCAAGAUCUCUGAGGCU
rnacentral:snoRNA from 1 species